ACACUGGAAUGAUAAGCCAUGAUUUAAUACUUUUAAUGUACAACAGUCAUUAUAAAACACACCGAUCACAUAGCAACACUCCAAGUCACAUAGCAACACACCGAUCACAUAGCAACACACCGAUCACAUAGCAACCCCUCAAGUCAUUCUCUCUCAUCCGAGUAUCAUGUCAAUAAUCGAAUUAUUGUGUUGGGGAGUUAAAACUGGGACCGUUCUCUGGCUUCGUCUCAAAAGGGCCCCCGAUACCCUAUAUAGUGGACUACUGGCCCCCUAUUCCCUAUAUAGUGGACUACUGGCCCCCUAUUCCCUAUAUAGUGGACUACUGGCCCCCUAUUCCCUAUAUAGUGGACUACUGGCCCCCUAUUCCCUAUAUAGUGGACUACUGGCCCCCUAUUCCCUAUAUAGUGGACUACUGGCCCCCUAUUCCCUAUAUAGUGGACUACUGGCCCCCUAUUCCCUUUAUAGUGGACUACUGGCCCCCUAUUCCCUAUAUAGUGGACUACUGGCCCCCUAUUCCCUAUAUAGUGGACGACUGGCCCCCUAUUCCCUAUAUAGUGGACUACUGGCCCCCUAUAUAGUGGACUACUAGUAGUGAAUAGGAUGGCAUCUGGGACUGCCAUUCCAACAACCCCCCCCAAACACCUUCCUUCUUUAAGUGGUGUAUUGCCCAACCGUAAGUGGUCCCCCUCUACCCUCCUGAUGCGUUGGUCAACUCAGGUUGACUGUGUGAAUGUGUGUGUUGCUGACUGGUAGUGAAUAGGGGGCCAGUAGUCCACUAUAUAGGGUAUCGGGGACCGUUCUCUGGCUACCCUCCUGAUGCGUUGGUCAACUCAGGUUGACUGUGUGAAUGUGUGUGUUGCUGACUGGUAGGGAUCAUACAUCUAUAGCCUGUGGUGGAGUGGAGGGUCGACCCCCCUUUGUCUUCCCAGGUAAUUACCCCCCUUUGUCUUCCCAGGUAAUUACCCCCCUUUAUCUUCCCAGGUAAUUACCCCCCUUUAUCUUCCCAGGUAAUUACCCCCCUUUAUCUUCCCAGGUAAUUACCCCCCUUUAUCUUCCCAGGUAAUUACCCCCCUUUAUCUUCCCAGGUAAUUACCCCCUUUAUCUUCCCAGGUAUUUACCCCCCCCACUACAUCACUGGUUAUAAUGUACAGAGACAUCAACAUGAACAGAGUCCUGUAGUAGCUCAUAUUCUGGAUCGGAGAACUUUCUAUUGUAGAUAUUGUAGUAUAUUAUAUAGUGUAUCUAGAGUAGCUUUAUGGAGGGAGAGAGGCCUCUGAAAG